GCUCUCUCUCAAGUCGAAGAUCUACAAUGCCCUAACUCUCUCUCUCUCUCAUGGCACCUCAGGGGGCAGACGAUUCUCUCUCACCAGUGAUGGCGAAGGGAUCGUAUCUAGGGUUUCGACCACCGUCUCGCGGUCGCUGAUUGUACACCACAGCAAACGAGUGACGUCGGACGCAGCCUACGUGACCGUAAAAUAGCGCCGUAAAAUAGAAAUUAUUUCCGGCAAUUACAAACAUUGUGCCUUAAUAAUUUAAUUAUUUUUAUUUUAUUUAUUAUUAUUUUUCCCUAAUAUAGCACAUUUGGGUUAGGUUUCAUAUCGUCAUUCCUUUCUUUUCUCUUAUCCACGACAUCAGGGCUUGGUGGUGUAACUCAGGGAAGAGCACGGCGGCUGUGGUCGAUUGGUGUUGCGGGUGGUGCGCUAGUGGUCGAUUGGUGAUGUAUCGGAGGUUUGGACAGUGGUGGUUGAAGGGUUGGGCUCCUGUAAGUUGUAAGUACUUUAAACCCUAAUUUCCCCUUCUUGUUCUUGAGAUGAAAAUUGGCACCAAAUCUUGCCCUUUUAUAAUUUCAAUAUUAUCUAGAUAUACUGUUGGAAACCUUUUGUGCUUCUCUUUGACAUCAGCUUAAAAGUUUAUUUUUGUUUACAGUUCUCUCUAAUUUCAUAUCUCAACCAUCUCUGUUAUAACUGGCCUUUGCCUUUUGGUGAAUAGCGAAUAUAAUGUAGUUGGAUUAGGCUUUUGUUGGAUUGAGUUGACCUGGCUUCAGAGCUGAUAUUAUAGCAAUUUCACUUCUCUAGGAAUCUCCAUUUGAUCAUUAAUGCUGUUCACCCAAGUGAUCGUCAAUUUGGUUUAGUGUUUUGUCUCUGGUGCUCUUCAAUAUGUUGUAUUUUAAGCUAAAAUUGUCAGUGGGGUGCCGUUCACCCAAGUGGACAUCAACUUGAUUUAGUGUUUUGUCUCUGGUGAUCCUGUUCUUGUUAAAAAUAUUUUAAACUUAGGUGCCUUGUUCUGGGCAAUGGAGAUCUAAUAAUAAAAAUGGUUAUGGAAGAGUCAAGUCAUUAGAGAAACUUAUUUGCUUUUGUUAAAAUAAUUGUUAGCACCAUAAUUGAGAAGAUCUAUUACCAAUCAAUAGAAAUUGUCCAUGAUACUGGAACAAUCAUAGCUCUGUAGUUGCAUACUGUAGUAUAAAAUAACUUCUAUAUAAAAAUUUAUAUAUUUUAUGGUUAUGUCCUCUAGUGUCUACAUGUUUUUUUUUUUUUUUUUUGUCUGUGUCUGUGUCCAUGUCCUCUGUCAAUGUCCAUGCAUUUUAGCAAACCAAUCUUGAGAAGCUCCUUUUACUUUUAAGGGCAGCUCUAGUUUCUUCCAACCUGAAACACAAUCUUCUGGAUGUACAAGAACUGAAAAUUUUAGAACAACUCUAGCAUUGUUGAUUUCUUAUAUCUACUAAAAGGGGUCGAGGGCAACAGCAGAAUUAAACUUUCUGAAGUUACAUAAUAAGACAAGUGUUCAUUUUUAAAAGUUAGAGCAUGUGUUUUGUUGUAAUAAUAUCAAUUUCAAAAAAAUCAUCAAUAGUAGGUGCAGUCACUUGGUGAAGCCCCAAGAUGCAAAGCCGAGGACGUGAGUUCUCUAUUUCAGCAACUUUGAUUGAUAGAGACCACACCAGGCAUUAGCCUUUUACUUACUCAUAGACUCAGUGCUGACAGAGUUCUACAUAGAGAGAAUUAUCAGGAUGGACAAAUACUCUCUCACACACUGCCAUUUCAACAUACUUCCUAAGGGAUUCAUUAUAGAAGAAUGGAUGGUAAGUCCAAUAUAAGGUGAAUGAUACACAAAUUCCAAAUAGGAUGACACCUGCACAUGUUUGAGCCUAUUGGAUGGACCAUAAGCAUGGUAAACAUCCCACCAUAUUCAUGUACUCUCAACCCCAAAAUGAAAACAAUUGAUUUUACAAAUACAAUUGAUAUAUUCCCUGAGAAAGUUCCAGCUAGUUGAAUGUAUUGGGUGGCAUAUGGUGAAAGGUAUUGAGAAAAGGAGGGAAACAGAGAGUUUCCAUCUUGGUAUAAAUUUGCCAGCAUGAUGACUUAACAGUUCAACUAGAUAACAUAAUUCCUUAUUUACCCAAAAAAAAAAAAAAAAAAAAAAAAAAAAAAAAAAAUUAGCAUAAUUCCUUUGCUACAUCUGAAAGUUAUUGCAAAUUACCAUACCUGCUAAUGGCGCGAUCUUUUACAAAUCCUAAUUCAUUGUCCACACAAGGUCAACAUCAUCAUUUUUCCUUAAUCUAGAAGAGGUUGUAAGAGCCAUUUGUUGGGCGUCAGAGAUUUAGAUGAGGUUAGGGAGCUUUAUAGACAGUCACAGGGAUGUUAAAGAUAACGAGGGACUUUAGACAUAGUUUCAGAUUUUCGUUGCAAGAAGUUUAAUUAAAAAUUUUCCUUGAUCUAGAAGAGGUUGUAGGAGCCAUUUGGGAUUGCAAGAAGUUUAAUUAAAAUUUUGUAUUUUUUUUUUCAAUUUGCCGAACAUAGUAGAAUUGUUUUAUCUCUUGACUUAUAAUGUACAUCCAUUCAUGCAUUUUUUAUUUUUUAAUAUCUUGGACUAUGAAAUGCUUGACUUUUGUUGGCUCAAAUAGAUGCUGAAAGUUGUAAUUAUUAGGGUUCAACAAAGUAAUGUAAUUAUUGGUUUUCCUAACAUCAUAUAAUUGUCAAAUUACUUUGACCCUGAAUAAAUUUUUAUUUUUAUUUUUAUUUUUAUAUUUUUUUUAUUAUUAUUAUUUUUUUAUAAGUUUUGAACUUGAAUAAAUCUUGUGGAACAUGUUCCAGUUUAUUAUUCGAAAAUACAUGUUCAUUUUUUAUAUUAAUUGCUUGGUACCUAUCAUACAUGAUAAUGCAACUUUGUGUAGAUAAUGCCAAGGUUAGGUGUAAUGGGCUGGCCACUUGCCAUCCGAUCCAAAAGAUAUAAAAAUAAAAAAGAUAUAAAAACCUAUAUCAUGCAAAAUUGUAGCCAUUAGAAAAAAAAUCUGAUUUCAGAGUUGAAAUUCAUUCUCCUACUUUUACAGUAGUAGUAGAAAUCAUAUUUGCAUUGUCACUUUAGUUUUGGUAGUGGUACUUUGUAAGAUUAUGAGUCUUGUUGCUGAUUAUCAUGUUGCUACUGUAGUACUAUGACUUGUAUGUGCUGAUUUAAAACCACUACUAGGACUUUUGAGUGUACUGAUAGUGAAGCCGACUACACUAGCAGCAUAGAAAAAAUAUGGUAGCAUUAGUAAAAGGAAAAACUUGUAGCCAAAUCAUAUUAUCGUACAUUAUGCAAACAUCAGCGUGAAAGAGAAAUGUGAGGGUUUCUGAAGGUUUAUAGAGAUGUGAGGGAGAGACGGGAUAAAAAUGGGGAGUAGAGAAGUAAAGGAUUGUUAAGGCUUAGGACCUUUGGGUGUGAGCAGGGAAGUGGGAUUGCUAUAGAGUUUCUAUGCUACAAUGCUAUUAAGCAGGGAACUAAGCUUUGCUUCAGGGCUCAAAGUUUUGCCAUUCAUCCGCAGCCGUUGUGUACUACUCGUCAAAAUAUAUUACUUCCACCAGAAGGGAUAAAUGCGGCAGCCAAUCUCUUUGCAGAGGGAAAUUAGUGGGAAUUAUCUGGAGUAUGUGAAGUGGAAAUUCUUCCAUAGAGUCUUCAGUUCUGCACUUCAAGUUCUUGCUACUCAGGUAAUAUUUUGUUCAUGAUUGAGAUUAAAUUUCAGUGCUGUAAGUGUGUGUGUUUGUGGGGUACUCAUUUUUGAGUUAAAUAACAGUUUUGGUGUUUUUGAUGGCUUAACAAUUUGUGAAAGGUUAAUGAUUAUGUGUAAUUUGAAGAUACUUUUCCACAAAUGUUUGAUAGUAUGGACUUUAUGUGAACAUCACUUCUCUGUUCUUUUGAUGAAUUGUUGAUUCUGUAGGUAUAUUGCCAAAGGGCAAGCAUUGUCAUUCUCAUGCCAAAAUAAUUAUUUCAAUUGGAAAGCUGAUUGUAUAAUUGUUCAUCACAUGUAAUUGCACUGUACAUAUGUGGCUAUCAGGCAUUGUUUCAAGCAAUUGGAAUUGGGUACUCCCGUUCACUUCCAUCAGCUGCUGCCCUGAAUUGGGUCUUGAAGGAUGGACUCGGACGGCUAAGUAGGUGCAUCUAUACUGCCAGCCUAGCGUCUGCUUUUGAUACCAAUUUAAAGGUAUGGCUUCUAUUCCCACAAAAAUCUGGGCCGCAUAUUAUGGUAUUACUGUUUACUUGCUCAUGUUGCAAUUGGCAAUCACUAGCAACUCGUUGUUCUGUUUGGACGAUAAUCUUGUUAUGUCAGAAAAUAUUUGAAAGAACCCAUGUGAAUGGUGAAAAUGAUAACUGCAGAAGAAUUGAAUGGAAAGACAUGGCAGAGUAUGUGCCCUAGAAUGUGAUGUCUAAAGCUUUUUUAACUAAUCACUAUCUGUUAUCUCCUUUAAAGAGAGUUAGGUUCUGGACAUUCGUGCUGUUCAGUUUGAGCAUUGGAGUUGAGUUGCUGACUCCGGCGUUUCCCCAAUACUUCUUGCUUCUUGCAUCUGUAGCCAACAUUGCUAAACGAGCCUUUCAUGCUAUCUGGCAACUGGUGUAAGUUUUAAUGCCUCAACUAUCUCUUGAACUUUUUUCCGUAACAUGUGGGAUCUUGGUUCCAAAUUGUUUUCUAGAAAUUGGAUUAUUCAUUAGGCAUGACAUAAACUAGGUAGUACUUUAUAUCUUAAAAUUAAUGUAAGAUGAUGCUUCUCUGUAUUCUUCAUUGCAUUGAAUUGCAUUUUCUUGUGAUGGCAAAAUGUUUAAAUACUAAAAGAAGGCAACUACUUGGUGCUAAGAUCCACCUAUGUUAUUGUUGCGACUGAGAGAGUGAUUGGUGGCAGAUCAAACCUUUGUCAUUAUUUUUUUUUAUAUGAAGUGGCUAUUCUCAAACAAAAGCCUGUGUACUUGUGUUAGUUAGCCUGAGCUUUUAUCAUCUACCAAGUAGUUCCCUAUAUGAAAAUUGGCAGUAGCGCUUCUCAUCUAAAAGCCCAUGUGCACUAGAACAACAUUUAGCAUCUGCUGCUUAAUUUUGUCAAAUAUAGAUUGAAUCUUAAAAUGUAGUUUGGACAGGCAUGGAUGGUGGAUGUAUCUUAGUAUAUGGUCAUUUGCCAACCCUGCUAAUGAUAACUAAAGGAAUUUUUUUUUUUCCUAUAUAAUUUUUGGUUUCCACUUGUUUAUGUGAAUGUAUUUACCAUAUUUACCCUCACAAAUUUUCAUUCUGAAUGACCUGAGGUUCAGUAAAAAUUUUGUAUUGUUGAUGAAUAAUAAAAUUGGCUUAGGAAAAAAAAAUAUAAUUCUCUUUUAUUUAAUCAUGUGUAUAACAUAAAGAUAUCACAUUUAGCCUUUCUUAUUUCUUAUUUUUCACUAUUUUUUUUGCUCACUUUCCUAAUUUCUCUCACUUCUCUUGGAUUCAAACAUAUGGGAGAUGCAUGGAAGAAGCUACUUGGAACGGCUGGAGCAAUGAUGCCUGACUAUGAGGAUGUUGAAACCAUUUGAUGUUAAAGCUACAAGCGAAUAUUUUGUAGUUUUUGUUUAAAAAAUUGGAGAUUUUAUAGUUUCAUUAUGAAAUUAAGAGCUUGAAGUUUUUAUAGAUUUUAUAA